UACGGGGGGAGCAAGCGUUGUUCGGAUUUACUGGGCGUAAAGGGCGCGUAGGCGGUCAGCACAAGUCAGUUGUGAAAUCUCCGGGCUUAACUCGGAAAGGUCAACUGAUACUGUGCGACUAGAGUGCGGAAGGGGCAACUGGAAUUCUCGGUGUAGCGGUGAAAUGCGUAGAUAUCGAGAGGAACACCUGCGGCGAAGGCGGGUUGCUGGGCCGACACUGACGCUGAGGCGCGAAAGCCAGGGGAGCAAACGGG
rnacentral:rRNA from 1 species